GAUGAAGAACGUAGCGAAAUGCGAUACGUAAUGUGAAUUGCAGAAUUCAGUGAAUCAUCGAGUCUUUGAACGCACAUUGCGCCCUCUGGUAUUCCGGAGGGCAUGCCUGUCCGAGCGUCAUUGCUGCCCUCAAGCACGGCUUGUGUGUUGGGCUCCGUCCCCCGAUCCCGGGGGACGGGCCCGAAAGGCAGCGGCGGCACCGCGUCCGGUCCUCGAGCGUAUGGGGCUUUGUCACCCGCUCUGUAGGCCCGGCCGGCGCUUGCCGAUCAACCAAAUUUUUAUCCAGGUUGACCUCGGAUCAGGUAGGGAUACCCGCUGAACUUAAGCAUAUCAAUAAGCGAAGGA
rnacentral:misc_RNA from 1 species